rnacentral:rRNA from 1 species
UUCCAGACUCCUACGGGAGGCAGCAGUGGGGAAUAUUGGACAAUGGGGGAAACCCUGAUGCAGCGACGCCGCGUGAGCGAUGAAGUAUUUCGGUAUGUAAAGCUCUAUCAGCAGGGAAGAAGAUGACGGUACCUGACUAAGAAGCCCCGGCUAACUACGUGCCAGCAGCCGCGGUAAUACGUAGGGGGCAAGCGUUAUCCGGAUUUACUGGGUGUAAAGGGAGCGUAGACGGCGAUGCAAGCCAGAUGUGAAAGCCCGGGGCUCAACCCCGGGACUGCAUUUGGAACUGUGUGGCUGGAGUGUCGGAGAGGCAGGCGGAAUUCCUAGUGUAGCGGUGAAAUGCGUAGAUAUUAGGAGGAACACCAGUGGCGAAGGCGGCCUGCUGGACGAUGACUGACGUUGAGGCUCGAAAGCGUGGGGAGCAAACAGGAUUAGAUACCCCUGUA